CCUACGGGUGGCAGCAGUGGGGAAUAUUGGGCAAUGGACGCAAGUCUGACCCAGCAACGCCGCGUGAAGGAAGAAGGCCUUCGGGUUGGAAACUUCCUUUAAGGGGGAAGAGGAGAAGACGGUACCCCUUGAAUAAGCCACGGCUAACUACGUGCCAGCAGCCGCGGUAAUACGGAGGGGGCAAGCGUUGUCCGGAUUUACUGGGGGUAAAGGGCGUGCAGCCGGGCUGACAAGUCAGAUGUGAAAUCCGCGGGCUUAACCCGCGAACUGCAUUUGAAACUAUUGGUCUUGAGUGCCGGAGAGGUAAUCGGAAUUCCUUGUGUAGCGGUGAAAUGCGUAGAUAUAAGGAAGAACGCCAGUGGCGAAGGCGGAUUACUGGACGGUAACUGACGGUGAGGCGCGAAAGCGUGGGGAGCGAACAGGAUUAGAUACCCGUGUAGUC
rnacentral:rRNA from 1 species